CGAACGCUGGCGGCGUGCUUAACACAUGCAAGUCGAACGCGAAAGGGACUUCGGUCCUGAGUAAAGUGGCGCACGGGUGAGUAACGCGUAGAUAACCUGUCUUCAUGUCUGGAAUAAUACGCCGAAAGGGAUACUAAUACCGGAUAUUCUUGCUUUUCAUAAGUUAUGCAAGCAAAGGUGGCCUCUGCAUAUGCUACUGCAUGAAGAGGGGUCUGCGUACCAUUAGCUAGUAGGUGGGGUAAUGGCCUACCUAGGCGACGAUGGUUAGCGGGUCUGAGAGGAUGAUCCGCCACACUGGCACUGGAACACGGGCCAGACUCCUACGGGAGGCAGCAGUGAGGAAUAUUGCGCAAUGGGGGAAACCCUGACGCAGCGACGCCGCGUGAGUGAGGAAGGCCUUCGGGUCGUAAAGCUCUGUCAAGAGGAAAGAAGUGUACAAUGGCUAAUACCUGUUGUAUUUGACGGUACCUCUAAAGGAAGCACCGGCUAACUCCGUGCCAGCCGCCGC
rnacentral:rRNA from 1 species